GGCGAACGCUGGCGGCAGGCCUAACACAUGCCAGUCGAACGAACUCUUCGGAGUUAGUGGCGGACGGGUGAGUAACACGUGGGAACGUUCCUUUUGGUUCGGCAUAACUCAGGGAAACUUGUGCUAAUACCGAAUGUGCCCUUCGGGGGAAAGAUUUAUCGCCAAUAGAGCGGUCCGCGUCUGAUUAGCUAGUUGGUGAGGUAACGGCUCACCAAGGCGACGAUCAGUAGCUGGUCUGAGAGGAUGACCAGCCACACUGGGACUGAGACACGGCCCAGACUCCCACGGGGGGCAGCAGUGGGGAAUCUUGCGCAAUGGGCGAAAGCCUGACGCAGCCAUGCCGCGUGAAUGAGGAAGGUCUUAGGAUUGUAAAAUUCUUUCGCCGGGGACGAUAAUGACGGUACCCGGAGAAGAAGCCCCGGCUAACUUCGUG
rnacentral:rRNA from 1 species